rnacentral:rRNA from 1 species
GAUGAACGCUGACAGAAUGCUUAACACAUGCAAGUCGAUGGGGAAGUGGUGCUUGCACCCUGGUAACCAUGGCGGACGGGUGAGUAACGCGUAAGGAACUUACCUGCGGGACCGGGAUAACAGCAGGAAACUGCUGACAAGACCGGAUAAGGUCAUUAAGCUGCAUAGCUUAGUGAUGAAAGGAGACGCCUGCGGAGAGCCUUGCGUCCUAUUAGCUAGUUGGAGGGGUAACGGCCCACCAAGGCGAAGAUAGGUAGCCGGCCUGAGAGGGUGGACGGCCACAAGGGGACUGAGAUACGGCACUUACUCCUACGGGAGGCAGCAGUGGGGAAUAUUGGACAAUGGGGGCAACCCUGAUCCAGCAAUUCUGUGUGCACGAAGACGGUUUUCGGAUUGUAAAGUGCUUUCAGAAGGGAAGAAGGAAGUGACGGUACCUGCAGAAGAAGCGACGGCUAAAUACGUG